UGGGGAAUAUUGGGCAAUGGGCGCAAGCCUGACCCAGCAACGCCGCGUGAAGGAAGAAGGCCCUCGGGUUGUAAACUUCUUUUAACAGGGACGAAACAAAUGACGGUACCUGUUGAAUAAGCCACGGCUAACUACGUGCCAGCAGCCGCGGUAAUACGUAGGUGGCAAGCGUUAUCCGGAUUUACUGGGUGUAAAGGGCGCGUAGGCGGGGAUGCAAGUCAGAUGUGAAAUCUAUGGGCUUAACUCAUAAACUGCAUUUGAAACUGUAUCUCUUGAGUGCUGGAGAGGUAGAUGGAAUUCCUUGUGUAGCGGUGAAAUGCGUAGAUAUAAGGAAGAACACCAGUGGCGAAGGCGAUCUACUGGACAGUAACUGACGCUGAGGCGCGAAAGCGUGGGGAGCAAACAGG
rnacentral:rRNA from 1 species